rfam:Pongo abelii chromosome 1.
UUAAUGGCUUUUUUUUAAGCAAAGCCACAUAAUAAAGUUAAAAAAAAAAAG